UUUUUUUGUUUUUGAGAUAGGGUUUCUCUGUGUAACUUUGACUGUCUUGGAACUUGCUCUGUAGACCAAACUGGCUUCAAACUCACAGAGAUCCUCCUGCCUCUACCACCCGAGUGUUGAGACUAAAGGCGUGCUCCACCACUUCCUGGCUUUAAAAUGCAUUUUAAGCUACACAUAUUAGCUAGCAUCUCAAGAGGAACAAAUUGACCAGGUCAGUCAAAGCCAUUGCUAUUAUUCUGGUACCUCCUCUCCCUUAGGCAAAGGGAGAGACAGCAGGGAAAUGCAAUUAAAUCUGAGGUUCCAGACAACUGCUGUCCACGGAUGAAUAGUGUUCUCCAGAGUGGUAUGUUUUGUGUCUACAGGAACCCUAACUGGGCGGGACAAAAGGAAUUGAUUACCCCUGUCUUGUUUAUAUCCUUCCCUUUGUCCAUGAUACCUGAGAAGGAGCUCUUCUCUCAGAAUCUCAGCUUUGCCUGGUGGGCACACAGUAGGGAACGAGAAGGUAGGUUAGGAGAUGUUCUUCCAUCUUUUAGGUAAGCUGUGACGUGCAGUGUAUCGAUGCCUUCUCAUGAUGUCCUUGGAAAUCAAGGGGAGAGCUGCCCUUGGUGGGUCCAGACAGACAGGAAAGCUUCCAGAUCACGGCAGAGAACGAGGACUCCAUCCUACACGUCUGAGAGCGUUCGCUGGCGUUAAUAGAACUUGGAAUUAUAGGAACACUUGGAUACAGCUUUGCACUCAAGGCUUUCUCCAUGGCCGUUAUCAUUUCCUUGUGUUUCUGAAACUGUCCAGAAAACGGGUAUCUGAAAGCCCCACCCAUUCACUUCCCCGCACUGCAGUAGAGGAUUUUGUUUGUUUACUAGUUUUGUUUAGUGAGGGAAUUCUGUCAGUUAUUUUCUGUGUCCUGCUGUGUCACACUGGAUCAUUAAAGAAGAUGCAAUCAGAA